UACGGAGGGUGCGAGCGUUGUCCGGAAUCACUGGGCGUCAAGGGCGCGUAGGCGGCCUGAUAAGUAGGGGGUGAAAUCUUGCGGCUUAACCGCAAGGCUGCCUUCUAAACUGUCGGGCUAGAGCACAGUAGAGGCAGGUGGAAUUCCCGGUGUAGCGGUGGAAUGCGUAGAGAUCGGGAAGAACAUCAGUGGCGAAGGCGGCCUGCUGGGCUGUUGCUGACGCUGAGGCGCGACAGCGUGGGGAGCAAACAGG
rnacentral:rRNA from 1 species